GGCCCAGUGGUGGAAUGGUAGACACGCUUGAUUUAGGAUCAAGUGCUUAGGCGUGAGAGUUCAAGUCUCUCCUGGGUCACCA
rnacentral:tRNA from 1 species